rnacentral:rRNA from 1 species
UUAAGUGACUAAGCGUACACGGUGGAUGCCUUGGCAGUCAGAGGCGAUGAAAGACGUAGUAACUUGCGAUAAGCCCAGAUUAGGUAGUAACAACCAUUUGAGUCUGGGAUUUCUGAAUGGGGAAACCCACUUACAUAAGUAAGUAUCAUUAACUGAAUACAUAGGUUAAUGAGGCGAACCGGGGGAACUGAAACAUCUAAGUACCCCGAGGAAAAGAAAUCAACCGAGAUUCCGAAAGUAGCGGCGAGCGAAAUUGGACUAGCCCUUAAGCUUUACACGCGUUAGACGAACGGUCUGGAAAGUCCGACGAUACAGGGUGAUAGUCCCGUAGUUGACGACGUGUGUUCAGUGAAAUCGAGUAGGGCGGGACACGUGAUAUCCUGUCUGAAUAUGGGGGGACCAUCCUCCAAGGCUAAAUACUACUGACUGACCGAUAGUGAACCAGUACCGUGAGGGAAAGGCGAAAAGAACCCCUGUGAGGGGAGUGAAAUAGAACCUGAAACCGUGUACGUACAAGCAGUAGGAGCAGGCUUUGUCCUGUGACUGCGUACCUUUUGUAUAAUGGGUCAGCGACUUAUAUUCAGUGGCAAGGUUAACCAUCUAGGGGAGCCGUAGGGAAACCGAGUCUUAACUGGGCGUUCAGUCUCUGGAUAUAGACCCGAAACCAGGUGAUCUAGCCAUGGGCAGGUUGAAGGUUGAGUAACAUCAACUGGAGGACCGAACCGACUAAUGUUGAAAAAUUAGCGGAUGACUUGUGGCUAGGGGUGAAAGGCCAAUCAAACCUGGAGAUAGCUGGUUCUCCCCGAAAGCUAUUUAGGUAGCGCCUCGGACGAAUACUACUGGGGGUAGAGCACUGUUAAGGCUAGGGGGUCAUCCCGACUUACCAACCCUUUGCAAACUCCGAAUACCAGUAAGUACUAUCCGGGAGACACACGGCGGGUGCUAACGUCCGUCGUGGAGAGGGAAACAACCCAGACCGCCAGCUAAGGUCCCAAAUUACUACUAAGUGGGAAACGAUGUGGGAAGGCUCAGACAGCCAGGAUGUUGGCUUAGAAGCAGCCAUCAUUUAAAGAAAGCGUAAUAGCUCACUGGUCGAGUCGGCCUGCGCGGAAGAUGUAACGGGGCUAAGUAGUAAACCGAAGCUGCGGCAAUGUGCUUUUGCACAUUGGGUAGGGGAGCGUUCUGUAAGCGGUUGAAGGUGUGUGGUAACGCAUGCUGGACGUAUCAGAAGUGCGAAUGCUGACAUGAGUAACGAUAAAGGGGGUGAAAAACCUCCUCGCCGGAAGACCAAGGGUUCCUGUCCAACGUUAAUCGGGGCAGGGUAAGUCGACCCCUAAGGCGAGGCCGAAAGGCGUAGUCGAUGGGAAACGGGUUAAUAUUCCCGUACUUCUUACAAUUGCGAUGGGGGGACGGAGAAGGCUAGGUGGGCCUGGCGACGGUUGUCCAGGUUCAAGUGCGUAGGCUUAAGAGUUAGGUAAAUCCGGCUCUUUUUAAGGCUGAGACACGACGUCGAGCACCUACGGGUGUGAAGUCAUUGAUGCCAUGCUUCCAGGAAAAGCCUCUAAGCUUCAGAUUGUAAGGAAUCGUACCCCAAACCGACACAGGUGGUCGGGUAGAGAAUACCAAGGCGCUUGAGAGAACUCGGGUGAAGGAACUAGGCAAAAUGGUACCGUAACUUCGGGAGAAGGUACGCUCUUGAUGGUGAAGUCCCUUGCGGAUGGAGCUGACGAGAGUCGCAGAUACCAGGUGGCUGCAACUGUUUAUUAAAAACACAGCACUGUGCAAAAUCGUAAGAUGACGUAUACGGUGUGACGCCUGCCCGGUGCCGGAAGGUUAAUUGAUGGGGUUAGACUUCGGUCGAAGCUCUUGAUCGAAGCCCCGGUAAACGGCGGCCGUAACUAUAACGGUCCUAAGGUAGCGAAAUUCCUUGUCGGGUAAGUUCCGACCUGCACGAAUGGCGUAAUGAUGGCCACGCUGUCUCCACCCGAGACUCAGUGAAAUUGAAAUCGCUGUGAAGAUGCAGUGUACCCGCGGCUAGACGGAAAGACCCCGUGAACCUUUACUACAGCUUGGCACUGAACAUUGACCCUACAUGUGUAGGAUAGGUGGGAGGCUUUGAAGCACGUACGCCAGUAUGUGUGGAGCCGUCCUUGAAAUACCACCCUUGUAGUGUUGAUGUUCUAACGUCGACCCCUAAUCGGGGUUGCGGACAGUGCCUGGUGGGUAGUUUGACUGGGGCGGUCUCCUCCCAAAGAGUAACGGAGGAGCACGAAGGUGGGCUAAUCACGGUUGGACAUCGUGAGGUUAGUGCAAUGGCAUAAGCCCGCUUGACUGCGAGAAUGACAAUUCGAGCAGGUGCGAAAGCAGGUCAUAGUGAUCCGGUGGUUCUGAAUGGAAGGGCCAUCGCUCAACGGAUAAAAGGUACUCCGGGGAUAACAGGCUGAUACCGCCCAAGAGUUCAUAUCGACGGCGGUGUUUGGCACCUCGAUGUCGGCUCAUCACAUCCUGGGGCUGAAGUCGGUCCCAAGGGUAUGGCUGUUCGCCAUUUAAAGUGGUACGCGAGCUGGGUUUAGAACGUCGUGAGACAGUUCGGUCCCUAUCUGCCGUGGGCGUUGGAAGAUUGAAGGGGGCUGCUCCUAGUACGAGAGGACCGGAGUGGACGAACCUCUGGUGUUCGGGUUGUGUCGCCAGACGCAUUGCCCGGUAGCUAAGUUCGGAAUCGAUAACCGCUGAAAGCAUCUAAGCGGGAAGCGAGCCCUGAGAUGAGUCUUCCCUGAUACUUUAAGUAUCCUAAAGGGUUGUCGGAGACUACGACGUUGAUAGGUCAGGUGUGUAAGUGCUGUGAGGCAUUGAGCUAACUGAUACUAAUUGCCCGUGAGGCUUAACC